CACGUAGGGCGCAAGCGUUGUCCGGAAUUAUUGGGCGUAAAGAGCUCGUAGGCGGUCUGUUGCGUCCGCUGUGAAAACUCGGGGCUUAACCCCGAGCCUGCAGUGGAUACGGGCAGACUAGAGGUAGGUAGGGGAGAAUGGAAUUCCCGGUGUAGCGGUGAAAUGCGCAGAUAUCGGGAGGAACACCGGUGGCGAAGGCGGCUUUCUGGACGACAACUGACGCUGAGACGCGAAAGCGUGGGGAGCAAACAGG
rnacentral:rRNA from 1 species